GUGGGGAAUAUUGGACAAUGGGCGAAAGCCUGAUCCAGCCAUGCCGCGUGAGUGAUGAAGGCCUUAGGGUUGUAAAGCUCUUUCAGUAGGGAAGAUAAUGACGGUACCUACAGAAGAAGCCCCGGAUAACUUCGUGCCAGCAGCCGCGGUAAUACGAAGGGGGCUAGCGUUGUUCGGAUUUACUGGGCGUAAAGCGCACGUAGGCGGAUUGGUCAGUUAGAGGUGAAAUCCUGGAGCUCAACUCGAGAACUGCCUUUAAUACUGCCAGUCUAGAGUCCAGAAGAGGUGAGUGGAACUCCUAGUGUAGAGGUGGAAUUCGUAGAUAUUAGGAAGAACACCAGUGGCGAAGGCGGCUCACUGGUCUGGUACUGACGCUGAGGUGCGAAAGCGUGGGGAGCAAACAGGAUUAGAUACCCCUGUAGUCC
rnacentral:rRNA from 1 species